rnacentral:rRNA from 1 species
CGUCAGUCUUUGUCCAGGGGGCCGCCUUCGCCACCGGUAUUCCUCCAGAUCUCUACGCAUUUCACCGCUACACCUGGAAUUCUACCCCCCUCUACAAGACUCAAGCUUGCCAGUUUCAAAUGCAGUUCCCAGGUUGAGCCCGGGGAUUUCACAUCUGACUUAACAAACCGCCUGCGUGCGCUUUACGCCCAGUAAUUCCGAUUAACGCUUGCACCCUCCGUAUUACCGCGGCUGCUGGCACGGAGUUAGCCGGUGCUUCUUCUGCGAGUAACGUCAAUCGCUAAGGUUAUUAACCUUAACGCCUUCCUCCUCGCUGAAAGUACUUUACAACCCGAAGGCCUUCUUCAUACACGCGGCAUGGCUGCAUCAGGCUUGCGCCCAUUGUGCAAUAUUCCCCACUGCUGCCUCCCGUAGGAGUCUGGACCGUGUCUCAGUUCCAGUGUGGCUGGUCAUCCUCUCAGACCAGCUAGGGAUCGUCGCCUAGGUGAGCCAUUACCCCACCUACUAGCUAAUCCCAUCUGGGCACAUCUGAUGGCAUGAGGCCCGAAGGUCCCCCACUUUGGUCUUGCGACGUUAUGCGGUAUUAGCUACCGUUUCCAGUAGUUAUCCCCCUCCAUCAGGCAGUUUCCCAGACAUUACUCACCCGUCCGCCGCUCGUCACCCG